CCCCCAAACCCCUCCAGGACCUCCCUGAGCCCCCCCAAAUUCCCCUCCCAGGUCUCUCUCCUGGGGGAGCCCCCCAAGGAUUUGAGGAUCCCCCUCAAUCCCUACCUGAACCUGCAGAGCCUCCUGCCCACGCCCGGCCUGCCAGGAAAAGGGUUUAAGGUGAAACCUGGAGUUUUGGGGACCCCCCCGCCCGACGCCUUCGCUGUGGACUUCCCGGAUUUGGGGUCCCGGAUUUUCCCCCAGCCCCGCGACCACGGCUCCAUCCUGGGGGGCUUCGGGCACGGCAGGCACAAGAUCUCCUCCUCCUCCUCGGGGUUGGACAGGGGGGGUCUGGGACCCCCAGGGCCCCCCUUUUUCUCAGGAUCCCCCAGUUCCUACUUCACCAGUGGCCUCCAGGCCGGGCUCAAGCAGAGCCACCUCAGCAAGGUGAGACCCCUCCCCAAAUU